rnacentral:rRNA from 1 species
UCCAAUCGAACUCGGAGAUAGCUGGUUCUCCCCGAAAUAGCUUUAGGGCUAGCGUCGGAUAUGUGUAGUGGAGGUAGAGCACUGAAUGGGCUAGGGGGCAUAUCGCUUACCGAACCUUAUCAAACUCCGAAUGCCAUAUACAUUUAGUCCGGCAGUCAGACUACGAAUGAUAAGAUCCGUGGUCAAAAGGGAAACAGCCCAGAUCGUCAGCUAAGGUCCCAAAGUGUAAGUUAAGUGGAAAAGGAUGUGGGAUUUCUAAGACAACUAGGAUGUUGGCUUAGAAGCAGCCACUCAUUUAAAGAGUGCGUAAUAGCUCACUAGUCGAGAGAUCCUGCGCCGAAAAUGUCCGGGGCUCAAACUUACCACCGAAGCUACGGGCUUGCGUAAGCAAGCGGUAGGGGAGCGUCGUAAUCGGGCUGAAGUCGUACCGUAAGGAGCGGUGGACUGAUUACGAGUGAGAAUGUUGGCAUUAGUAGCGAGAUGUAGGUGAGAAUCCUACAGGCCGAAUAUCUAAGGUUUCCUCAGGAAGGCUCGUCCGCUGAGGGUUAGUCGGGACCUAAGCCGAGGCCGAAAGGCGUAGGCGAUGGACAAUCGGUUGAUAUUCCGAUACCACUACCAUCGUUAUUAUCGAGGGUGUGACGGAGAAGGAUAGUGUGUGCUAGCGAUUGGAAAUGCUAGUCUAAGCGUUUAGGGAGUUACGGUAGGCAAAUCCGCUGUAACAAUUCUGAGGCGUGAUGGGGAAGGCCAUAUAGGCCGAAGUACAUGAUUCCAUGCUUCCAAGAAAAGCAUCUAGAGAGAGAAGUAGUGCCCGUACCGCAAACCGACACAGGUAGAUGAGGAGAGAAUCCUAAGGCCGGCGGAAGAAUUGCAGUUAAGGAACUAGGCAAAUUGACCCCGUAAGUUCGCGAGAAGGGGUGCCUGCGAGAGCAGGCCGCAGAGAAUAGGCCCAAGCAACUGUUUAGCAAAAACACAGGUCUCUGCUAAAGCGUAAGCUGAUGUAUAGGGGCUGACGCCUGCCCGGUGCUGGAAGGUUAAGGGGAACACUUAGCGCAAGCGAAGGUGUGAACUUAAGCCCCAGUAAACGGCGGCCGUAACUAUAACGGUCCUAAGGUAGCGAAAUUCCUUGUCAGGUAAGUUCUGACCCGCACGAAUGGCGUAAUGACUUGGGCACUGUCUCAACUGCAAAUCCGGCGAAGUUGUAGUGCGAGUGAAGAUGCUCGCUACCCGCGAUUGGACGGAAAGACCCCGUAGAGCUUUACUGUAGCUUAGCAUUGAAUUCCGGUAUUGUCUGUACAGGAUAGGUGGGAGACUGGGAAACUAGGGCGUCAGCCUUAGUGGAGUCAACCUUGGGAUACCACCCUGACAGUACUGGGGUUCUAACAGGACGCCAUGAAUCUGGUGACUGGACAUUGUUAGGUGGGCAGUUUGACUGGGGCGGUCGCCUCCUAAAAAGUAACGGAGGCGCCCAAAGGUUCCCUCAGAACGGUCGGAAAUCGUUCGUAGAGUGCAAAGGCAGAAGGGAGCCUGACUGCGAGACAUACAAGUCGAGCAGGGACGAAAGUCGGGCUUAGUGAUCCGGUGGUACCUCGUGGGAGGGCCAUCGCUCAACGGAUAAAAGCUACCUCGGGGAUAACAGGCUGAUCUCCCCCAAGAGUCCACAUCGACGGGGAGGUUUGGCAC